CACUCCUGCGGGAGGCAGCAGUGGGGAAUUUUGGACAAUGGGCGAAAGCCUGAUCCAGCAAUGCCGCGUGAGUGAAGAAGGCCUUCGGGUUGUAAAGCUCUUUUGUCAGGGAAGAAACGGUGAAAGCUAAUAUCUUUUGCUAAUGACGGUACCUGAAGAAUAAGCACCGGCUAACUACGUGCCAGCAGCCGCGGUAAUACGUAGGGUGCAAGCGUUAAUCGGAAUUACUGGGCGUAAAGCGUGCGCAGGCGGUUUUGUAAGUCUGAUGUGAAAUCCCCGGGCUCAACCUGGGAAUUGCAUUGGAGACUGCAAGGCUAGAAUCUGGCAGAGGGGGGUAGAAUUCCACGUGUAGCAGUGAAAUGCGUAGAUAUGUGGAGGAACACCGAUGGCGAAGGCAGCCCCCUGGGUCAAGAUUGACGCUCAUGCACGAAAGCGUGGGGAGCAAACAGGAUUAGAAACCCGAGUAGUCCC
rnacentral:rRNA from 1 species